CCACUGGAACAGGUUUCCCAGAGAGGUGGUAGAUGCCCCAUCCCUGGAAACAUUCAAGGUCAGGUUGGACGGGGCUCUGGGCAUGCUGAUCUAGCUGAAGAUGGCUCUGCUCAUUGCAGGGGGGUUGGACCAGAUGGCCUUUAAAAGUUCCUUUCCAACCCAAACUAUUUUAUGAAGCCAAAACUGAUGCUGUUGCUCAGUACCUACUCUGUGCAAUAUGCACCCCAGGGGAGGCCCUGGUUUAUGGCUGAGGUUCCCAGGUAAUACUGCAGAAACUUUUUUUUUUUUUUCUCCUAGUGCAUUCUUUCAUGUUCGGAGUUAUCACUAAAAAUAAUUUAUUAUUGUUGGGAAAAAAACCUGCCUCUUGUAGAAGAACAGGUUGUAAGGUAGUAAGAUUUGUUUAUGGGCAGCUGUUUUCACUAUGUGGAUUGAUUGUACAGCCGAUACCUGCUUUUAUCUGCCCAUGUAUCUCUGGAUACAAAUUAUCGUUUCUUGUUUAUCACCACUGUUAUGUAGUCAGAGAGUGAUUUUUCUAGUUUAGGAAUUUCACGGGCAGCAGGAGGCAUUCUUUUGAAGAAAUGCGGAUUCAAGGUCUCUGAAAUGCCUUUUUCACUUCUGGGGGAAAAAUGGUUUUGUUCCUUUUCACUGUGGGCCUGGAGAUUAAUUUUAUCGGAUCCUUCUCAUGCCCCUCACUGUUCAUUCGGUCUUCUACAGCCGCAUGCAAGUAUUCACACAGAUCACCAAUGCACAGUAACAGGAACUUUAAGAACUGUGGUGUAUGGUUCAAAGAUUUAUUUUGAGAGUAAAAACUGGGAUUCUGCCUCCCUACUGUUUCAGUACCUCUGUGUAUCUCUUGCCGGGUAUUGCAAGGCAGAAUUCAUGAGUAACAUGAUGGAUAACCUGCAGUGCUGGCCAGGGGGGUUCCUGGUGCCUGAUAAUGCAAACAGGAGCAGGCGGUCCAGCCACCCAUCUGUCUCUGGUCCUGGAGGGCUCAUCUCACGAGGACUCUGCACUGCGGGGAGCAGGGAUACAGCAGAAGAGCCAGAAAAGGCAUCAGCUCUGUUGCUGGAGGCUGCAGAGGGACAGAUGAUUGCUCCUGUGUUCCUCUCACACCUCCAUGCUCGCAGGCACUGCCGAGGACACCGAAUGUGACCUUCUCCCCCGCUGCCCCCUGAACUGGGGGCUAAGUGCUGUCCCCGCACACAUGGUCACUCUGCAAAGGGCUCCUUGGAGCAGAUGUUACCAUUUGUUUACUCCUCUGUCUCCCUACUGACAUUUUUGUACACAAACAAGAUCUUGCCAUCCUGCUGGCCUUUUAAUGGAAAGAAAAUAUCCUGCGCUUCUGCUCUUUGCUUUCUUUUUCUGGUGCUUGGCUGCGGUGCCACGUGAGGGCCUGCAGCCCCCUCCUGCAGGCAGCUGCUCCCUCAGCCAGAGGCGACUCCCCCUCACCCCCUGCCCCGCUCCCCAUCCCGACAGGCGAGAGACCUCCUGGGGAAGGUGCCUGGCUGGCAGCGAGCAGCACUGCCACUGCUGCUGAGAUACCUGCUCUGGGACUCUCUUCUUGCUGGCAGGAAGCAUUUUGUGCUCUCCUGCUCCUCCUGGCCUGGCCCGAGGCUCGCUGGCUCAGCCCACAGGGCUGCCUGGGGCACAACACCGCUGCUGCUCAACUGACUGAGAGGCGAGGCUUGAGGCUUGCUGCAGGCGACUGGUUGCCUCUGCGAUGUUUGCCCCCCCCAGGGAUUGCUUUGCUGAAUGCCCCCCUUGCGCCGGCACCUCUGCAGCAUCCGCCUGCCCGCGGACGCGUCUCCUGAACAACCUUCCGAUGCUGCACUUGGAGGUGGGAUCCCACAGCGGGGCUCUGCUCUGCCCGGGGGACCAAGCUGGCCCCAGGACCUCUCCCCAGUCUCCUCCUUGAGCUGCACCUCGGCCCCAGGGGUGCAGCACGCCCGAGCGAGACGGACAUCGGCUUAGCACAGAAAUUUCUCAGCCUGUCGCUAUAGCGACUCACAGCCAGAGUGCACAGGAAAACUGGAGCCGCGUUUCAAAAUACCAGAUGCUCUGUUGUUUCCUUCCCACCGUGGAUUUUCCAUCGCCCUAGCCUUGGCCCGCUGGCAGCCUGCCUGGAUGCUCUCCCAGCUGCACUUUGGCAGCCUCGCUGGUCCAGGUCCUCCUCUUUCUACGGAAAGUCCUUCAGGUCAAUGAGUUCCUGUUGCUCCUCCUUUGGAAGCGUGUCCUGGUGAGAGGUGGUUCACUGACUUUGGACCAAGACAUUCAGCAAUAAUGCAGUCAGGUCCUAAGUGCACCCAGAGUCCACAGGCUUCGUGCCGCUGGACGGCCCCAGUCCCAAGCAUGUCCUUGCAGGGGACCCGCGGUGGGGCCGGGCAGGAGAGCUGCACCCCCACCCCCCCAGCCCCUGGCCUCGGGGGCCCUGCAGCCUCCGGGGCGUGUGGAGCAGCAGGUCACAGCUCCGAGAGGGAGCAGCCAGGGCGGGGAGCGGGGCAGGGCAGCGAGCGGCGAAGGAUUGCAUCUGUAUCCUACAUAGAUCUGUUUGCAAUAUUAUGUGUGCGAUAUCAUGUAUACAUUUUGAUUAAAUAUUAAAAUUUGAGAAAA